rnacentral:rRNA from 1 species
UGGGGAAUAUUGCACAAUGGGCGCAAGCCUGAUGCAGCCAUGCCGCGUGUGUGAAGAAGGUCUUCGGGUUGUAAAGCACUUUCAGCGAGGAGGAAGGCGUUAAGGUUAAUAACCUUAGCGAUUGACGUUACUCGCAGAAGAAGCACCGGCUAACUCCGUGCCAGCAGCCGCGGUAAUACGGAGGGUGCAAGCGUUAAUCGGAAUUACUGGGCGUAAAGCGCACGCAGGCGGUUUGUUAAGUCAGAUGUGAAAUCCCCGAGCUUAACUUGGGAACUGCAUUUGAAACUGGCAAGCUAGAGUCUUGUAGAGGGGGGUAGAAUUCCAGGUGUAGCGGUGAAAUGCGUAGAGAUCUGGAGGAAUACCGGUGGCGAAGGCGGCCCCCUGGACAAAGACUGACGCUCAGGUGCGAAAGCGUGGGGCAGCAAACAGGAUUAGAUACCCUGGUAGUCCACGCUGUAAACGAUGUCGAU